AGUGAACGCUGGCGGCAGGCCUAAUACAUGCAAGUCGAACGGCAGCACAGUGGAGCUUGCUCCAUGGGUGGCGAGUGGCGGACGGGUGAGGAAUACAUGGGAAUCUGCCCAGUCGUGGGGGAUAACGUAGGGAAACUUACGCUAAUACCGCAUGCGCCCUUCGGGGAAAGCCGGGGACCGUAAGGCCUGGCGCGAUUGGAUGAGCCCAUGUCGGAUUAGCUAGUUGGCGGGGUAACGGCCCACCAAGGCGACGAUCCGUAGCUGGUCUGAGAGGAUGAUCAGCCACACUGGAACUGAGACACGGUCCAGACUCCUACGGGAGGCAGCAGUAGGGAAUAUUGGACAAUGGGCGCAAGCCUGAUCCAGCCAUGCCGCGUGAGUGAAGAAGGCCCUCGGGUUGUAAAGCUCUUUUGUCCGGAAGAAAAGCAAUCGGUUAAUACCCGGUUGUUCUGACGGUACCGGAAGAAUAAGCACCGGCUAACUUCGUGCCAGCAG
rnacentral:rRNA from 1 species